rnacentral:misc_RNA from 1 species
AAGUCGUAACAAGGUUUCCGUAGGUGAACCUGCGGAAGGAUCAUUAUCACGUAUCCACGUAUAAACCAUCGCGAACCGUUCUUAACCUCUGCAAACCGGCCAACAAUGAAGAGAUCACAACCUCUGUGCUCUCUUCAUCGUGACCGGGGCAACAGAGUGUAUAACCACCAUUAACCAUUAUAACCCAAUCUUUAUAACUUUAUGAACUAACUUUAUUUUAUACUCUUCGGAGAUAAAAUUCAUUACGAAACAAAGAACAACUCUUAGCAACGGAUAUCUUGGUUCUCGU